rnacentral:rRNA from 1 species
ACGAACGCUGGCGGCGUGCCUAACACAUGCAAGUCGAACGGGAAAGUUCUUCGGAACGAGUAUAGUGGCGCACGGGUGAGUAAUACAUGGGAAGCGUGCCUAGUAGUGGUGGAUAACUGCGGGAAACUGCAGCUAAUACAGCAUAAUGUCUACGGAGCAAAGGGGGCAUCGUAAGAUGCUUUUGCUACUAGAUCGGCCCAUGUCCCAUUAGCUAGUUGGUAGGGGUAAAGGCCUACCAAGGCGACGAUGGGUAGCUGGUCUGAGAGGAUGAUCAGCCACACUGGAACUGAGACACGGUCCAGACUCCUACGGGAGGCAGCAGUGGGGAAUUUUGCACAAUGGGGGAAACCCUGAUGCAGCAACGCCGCGUGAGUGAAGAAGGCCUUUGGGUUGUAAAGCUCUUUCGGCUGGGAAAAAAGGGUGAAUGUGCUAAUACCACAUUCAUUUGAUGGUACCAGAAGAAGAAGCACCUGCUAACUACGUGCCAGCAGCAGCGGUAAUACGUAGGGUGCAAGCGUUGUUCGGAAUUACUGGGCGUAAAGGGCGCGUAGGCGGGUUUGCAAGUCGUUUGUGAAAUCCCCGGGCUUAACCUGGGAAUGGCAGGCGAAACUGCAGAUCUUGAGUGCUUGAGAGGAUGGCAGAAUUGCGGGUGUAGAAGUGAAAUUCGUAGAUAUCUGCAAGAACACCGGAGGCGAAGGCGGCUGUCUGGCAAGACACUGACGCUAAGGCGCGAAAGCGUGGGGAUCAAACAGGAUUAGAUACCCUGGUAGUCCACGCCAUAAACGAUGGAUACUAGAUGUUUGGAGAAUUAACCCUCUGAGUAUCGCAGUUCACACGGUAAGUAUCCCGCCUGGGGAGUACGGUCGCAAGACUAAAACUCAAAGGAAUUGACGGGGGCCCGCACAAGCGGUGGAGUAUGUGGUUUAAUUCGACGCAACGCGCAGAACCUUACCUGGGUUUGACAUCCCACGAUAGCCGUAGAGAUACGGGAUUCCCUUCGGGGACGUGGAGACAAGUGCUGCAUGGCUGUCGUCAGCUCGUGUUGUGAAAUGUUGGGUUAAGUCCCGCAACGAGCGCAACCCUUAUCCGUAGUUGGUACCAUUAAGUUGACCACUCUGUGGAGACUGCCGAUGUUAAAUCGGAGGAAGGCGGGGAUGACGUCAAGUCCUCAUGGCCUUUACAUCCAGGGCUACACACGUACUACAAUGGUAGAGACAGACCGUUUGCGAAGCAGCGAUGUGGAGCUAAUCGGAAAAACACUACCUUAGUUCGGAUUGAAGUCUGCAACUCGACUUCAUGAAGUUGGAAUCGCUAGUAAUCGCAGAUCAGCACGCUGCGGUGAAUACGUUCCCGGGCCUUGUACACACCGCCCGUCACACCACGAAAGUGGUCAUAACCAGAAGCAGGUGAGCUAACCGCAAGGAGGCAGCCUACCAAGGUUGUGGCCGUGAUUGGGGUG